GAAUAUCAUUGUUAUGUCUUGGCAAGUCUGCUUGGCACUGGGGAAUCCUUUGUGUUAAAUGUAAGGCUUUUACAUGGUUGUAUCAUAGAAUUCCCCCGUACCGAGUGGACUUGUUCAGAACUGCCAGCUUUAUGGGGA
rnacentral:precursor_RNA from 16 species